rnacentral:rRNA from 1 species
UACAGAGGGUGCGAGCGUUGUCCGGAAUCACUGGGCGUAAAGGGCGUGUAGGUGGCUUGGUAAGCCGCGUGUGAAAUCCCGGGGCUCAACCCCGGAACGGCACGCGGGACUGUCAGGCUAGAGCAUGGUAGAGGCGAGUGGAAUUCCUGGUGUAGCGGUGGAAUGCGUAGAGAUCAGGAAGAACACCGGUGGCGAAGGCGGCUCGCUGGGCCAUUGCUGACACUGAGGCGCGAAAGCGUGGGGAGCAAACAGGAUUAGAUACCCUGGUAGUCCACGCUGUAAACGAUGGGCACUAGGCGUCGGGGGGAGCGACCCUCCCGGUGCCGUCGCUAACGCAAUAAGUGCCCCGCCUGGGGAGUACGGCCGCAAGGUUGAA